UUGAAGAUUAUGAUUCAUUCCGUUAAAAAUAACCAAAUGAAGGGCUGUUUGUGGAUAAAUGGAAUCACCUUUUGGGAACCGGGGCCGAAUUUGAAUAAAGAAUUUUACAGUGGGGGCAAUUUAGUCAUUUUAUAAAAUGACUUCAACUUAGGGCUCAUAAGCCCCCGUCUCUUUUGUUUUGAUCGGGUAAUGGAUAUGAAUUGCUCCCAAAGUAAGUCACAAAUGAACAGAUGAACAAGGGCAGUCGAUCAUAGACGCGAAGGGGCAAUCGGCGACCAGAAGGGAGCACGAUGGUUCGUCGCUCGACUCGCAAUCGGUGGCGGCCUCCGGGGUUCGACUAGGCUGAAGAAGGAGAAGUGUCGAAGCAGCGAGGCGGCUGUGACCUCGGACUAGAAGAAAGAGACGAAGCAGCGGGGCUGUUCGUCUUCGGUCUUGGAAGGAGUUGCGAAGGGAUGGUCUCCGGGGUCGGCGAGGCUGAAGCAACGACGACGGGAAGAAACAGAGAGGAUGCCGAGGUCUUUGUCUUCAACUGAUCAGGGAAGAAACGAAAUUGAAGAAGCAAACAGAGGUGGGGAAUCGGAGUUGGCGAAAAAGCUCCGUCGAGGGAGGCAGAGCCGGCAGCAAAGGGCUGCUCCGGCGAUCUCUUUUCUUUUCUGGUUCGAUCGGCAUCAACUCUCGAAGGAGGAGGAAGGACUUCGGUCCACUGCCUUUGUCUGAUCGAGAAGAAGAAUCCGGUUGGAAGCAGUCACAAGGGUGGUUCGAUGGUGGUUGCAGAUGGGAGUUGUAAGGCGGAAGGUGGGUGGCAUGGGUGAUGGAGGAAGCUGGCGACAGUAGCAGCUCGGGUGGGGCGGUUGGUUGGUUCAACUUCAACCUAAAAUUGAACGGAAUCAGUAACAGGUGGGAAGACUUUGAAAGAAAGGGGAAAUAGAAGGUGGGUUUACUGUCUUCACCCAGAUUUUGGAAGUCUUUUUGAUGGAUUUGUGGUACUUGGAAAUCUUGGAAGGAUUUUGAGAGCGCAUUGUACUUAUUGGUUCAUGUGUGUAGAAGUGUGAUGUAUUGAUUGUGUAUAGUGUGAUGCUUCCUGUAUUAUUUGUUUAAUGCUUCCUGUAUUAUUGUAUUUGUUUUAGAUUUUGAAGGCAAUAAUGCAUAUGCACAAUACUUAUACACUCCUAUAUCAAGGUUUACCAUGUAUGAUGGUAAGAAAUAUAAAGAGUUCGGGAUUUGUAUAUAGUAAA